rnacentral:rRNA from 1 species
UGGGGAAUAUUGCGCAAUGGGCGAAAGCCUGACGCAGCAACGCCGCGUGAGGGAUGACGGCUUUCGGGUUGUAAACCUCUUUCAGUGAUGACGAAAAUGACGGUAGUCACAGAAGAAGCCCCGGCCAACUACGUGCCAGCAGCCGCGGUAACACGUAGGGGGCGAGCGUUGUCCGGAUUUAUUGGGCGUAAAGAGCUCGUAGGCUGUUGCGUAAGUCGGAUGUGAAAACUCAGGGCUCAACCCUGAGACGCCAUCCGAUACUGCGCUGACUGGAGUCCGGUAGAGGAGCAUGGAAUUCCUGGUGUAGCGGUGAAAUGCGCAGAUAUCAGGAGGAACACCGGUAGCGAAGGCGGUGCUCUGGGCCGGUACUGACGCUGAGGAGCGAAAGCAUGGGUAGCAAACAGGAUUAGAUACCCCCGUAGUCC